rnacentral:rRNA from 1 species
CUAAGAAUCUUGCGCAAUGGGCGAAAGCCUGACGCAGCAAUUCCGCGUGGGGGACGAAGGCCCUCGGGUCGUAAACCCCUUUUGUGAGAGAAGAAGUUCUGACGGUACCUCACGAAUAAGACACGGCUAACUACGUGCCAGCAGCCGCGGUAAUACGUAGGUGUCGAGCGUUGUCCGGAUUUAUUGGGCGUAAAGAGCCCGCAGGCGGCUUGGUAAGUUCGAGGUGAAAUCUCCCGGCUCAACUGGGAGGGUGCCUCGAAAACUAUCAGGCUUGAGGCAGGGAGAGNGAUGUGGAAUUCCCGGUGUAGUGGUGAAAUGCGUAGAUAUCGGGAGGAACACCAGUGGCGAAGGCGGCAUCCUGGCCCUGUCCUGACGCUCAGGGGCGAAAGCGUGGGGAGCAAACC